rnacentral:rRNA from 1 species
UGGGGAAUAUUGCACAAUAGGCGCAAGCCUGAUGCAGCGACGCCGCGUGAGGGAUGACGGCCUUCGGGUUGUAAACCUCUUUCAAUAGGGACGAAGCGCAAGUGACGGUACCUAUAGAAGAAGGACCGGCCAACUACGUGCCAGCAGCCGCGGUAAUACGUAGGGUCCGAGCGUUGUCCGGAAUUACUGGGCGUAAAGAGCUCGUAGGUGGUUUGUCGCGUUGUUCGAUGAAAACUCACAGCUUAACUGUGGGCGUGCGGGCGAUACGGGCAGACUAGAGUACUGCAGGGGAGACUGGAAUUCCUGGUGUAGCGGUGGAAUGCGCAGAUAUCAGGAGGAACACCGGUGGCGAAGGCGGGUCUCUGGGCAGUAACUGACGCUGAGGAGCGAAAGCGUGGGGAGCGAACAGGAUUAGAUACCCUGGUAGUCCACGCCGUAAACGGUGGGUACUAGGUGUGGGUUUCCUUCCUUGGGAUCCGUGCCGUAGCUAACGCAUUAAGUACCCCGCCUGGGGAGUACGGCCGCAAGGCUAAAACUUAAAUGAAUUGACGGGGUCAUAGCUGUUUUCCU